rnacentral:piRNA from 1 species
UAGUAAACCAGUGAGGAAUAGGUGAGG